CACACACAGAUAACAGAAAUCAGAGAGAAGAGUGAAGGAAAAGAAAUUAUUCACUGGAGAUUUUAUUACAAUAGGUAAUUAUGAAAUAUGUAGUUAAUAAGAAGUCCAGAUUAAGAAAUGUUUGCAAUCAGUAGUGUUUCAUAGUUUUAAAACCAGAUUAAUAACUACAAUAACAUGAAAAACACUAAUGCCUUGCAUGUGUCCUGUUGUCCAACUGUCUCCUCAAAGAUAAGAAGCAGAAAAAAAGGACAUUUGUAGAAUGUAAAGAAUGAGGUGAGGCCAUGGUUGCCAGAUAAAAUACAAGAUGGCCUGUUAACUUUGAAUUCCAGAUAAAAUGAUGAAUAUUUUGUUAGUAUAAGUAUGUUCCAUAUAUUGCAUGGGACAUACCUAUUCUAAAAAUCUAUUAUUGUUUAUCUGAAAUUCAAAUGUAACCGAUCAUCAUGUAUCUGUAUUUGCUCAAUCUGACAACCUCAGGUGGUUGCCUUAUCCACCCCAGUAGGGAGAGACCGAAGAGAGAAUUCUGGAAAAGAGGCAGGCAGGCACAGGCUAAAUGACGGACUCCAGGGACGCCAGGCCUCGAGUCUCAGGCUGCCCUGGUGGGGCCCUGGGAAAAGGCACUGGGCCUCCUCUCAGAGCUCUGUUUCUCCCUGGAGGGGACAGGCGGUACCCAGCAGCUGUAGAAGGAAGCCUUGAAAACAACCUGAAAACAACUCAGGCUUCUCCCUGUAGUUGCCAGUGAGGAGAAGCCAGGCUCAGGGUGGCAACAUCUCCAAGUGCACCCAGACCAUAUGCCAGCCUGUCUCCCAUGGGCUCAAGAGGUCAUCCUGCCCCAGAGGUAUAGUGGCACUGCCCAUGCCUCAGCUGAGCCUGUAAACUCCCCAGCCUGCACGGACCUCCCCUUCAGGCCUGGCUGUGGCAGUCCUGCCCCACACUGAAUCCCCCCACAUGCUCUGGGGCUGAGGUCAUUGAAUCUCUCUGGGCCUUUCCUAUAGGACUGAAGUGCUGAUCCAGAGACAUUAGCUGGGUGACUAGCUAUUUGUGUACUACCCAAAGGUACCCUGGGAAGGCCAAGUGUAGGCACCUGUUCCCCAGGAGUCCUGGGAAGAUUGCUGGGUGAGAGUGCAGACAUCUGUCCCCAGAAGGUGAGUGGAGCCUGCCUGCCUCAGGGCUCCGGCUGAACUUGGCUAGAGUCUGUGAAGUUUCCUCUAGAAAAUAAUACUGAAAGGAAACAGCUGCACUUCCCUGUGUCCACACCAGGAACACCAUCCUCCUCCCGCAGAGCUGAUCCAGUCUUUAUCAGCCCACUGUCUUUCUGGAGCCUUGGAGGGCUGCUGAGGAGAGGCGUUCUUAGAGGGUGGUGUGGCGGGCCGGAAGGCUACAGACUCCCGCACAGAAAUGGACCUGUGCCUGAUGAUUGAGAAGGUGUGGGGCCCCUACAGGUGAUUCUGGAGUGGAAAGGCACUGUGCUGGAAUGGAUCAGGGCCCUGGGGCCCGCAGAAGGGGUAUGUCUACUGGUGGUGAGAGGACCCCCUGCUUUAGGCUCCAGCAGUUCAGUUCAGAGGAAAGCUUGUCAGUAGAGGACUGCUGAGGGUGUCCAGACUGAGGCUGCAAUCAAGACACUCCUGCCACGGAACUUGAAUGGGUUGACUGGUGGAUCCCCAAAAGAUAUGUCCAUGCCCUAACCCCCAAAACCUGUGAAUAUGAUCUUAUUUUGAAAAAGGGUCACUGCAGAUGCAAUUAAGAAUCCUGAGAUGAAAUCAUUCUGGAUAAUCCAGGUGUGUCUCAAAUCCCAUGACAAGUGUCCUUAUAAGAGCAGGAGAAGGGAACUCACAGAUACCAAGAAGGCCACGUGAAGACAGAGGUAGAGAUAUGAGUCAUGCCACUGCAAGCCAAGGAAAGUCUGGCGCCACCCGAGGCUGGAAGAGGGGCAAUUUUGAAGAGAGUGCAGCCCUGCUUUCUGGUCCCCAGAACUGUGAGAGAAUAAAUUUCUUUUGUUUUAAGCACCCAGUUUGUGGUAAUUUGUUAUGACAGCUGCAGGAAAUUUAUACAAGGAACAACUGCAAAAAUCCCCCUAAAAAGGAAAAAAGGACCAUGGUCUGAAGU